CCAAAGGAUUUUUUCUGAAAUCCACAAAAAAUCUAAUUAAUUCACUCU
rfam:Pelecanus crispus contig107353, whole genome shotgun sequence.